rnacentral:precursor_RNA from 15 species
ACCAAUCAAUAUGAGUUUUGUGCCAGAUUCUGAGUAUUCCUGAUUGCAUAGCUCUGUGUUGUGACUGCUAUACGGUCUGGGACACUUCUAACAUGGCAUCAAAUCUGUGUCAACGGCAGC